AGAAAUUUAAGCAGUCACGAAGGGGUCUACUUUUCUCCCUCUUCUACUAAAAUCUCAUUUUUAUUACUUCCCUGAAAUAGUCACUUUAAGUCACAUAUAAAAACAAAACGAAACACCAAAUAUUACUGGAAGUUCUAAGGGAGUGGGCGUGAUUCACGGAGAACUGGUGGCAGCAGUGACAAGGCCUCACUUGCAUCUGGAGGUCGGGGAUCCAUAGAGCUCUUCCUAACCGUGUUUAUACACUUUCUCUGCUACAGCUCAUCGGCGGAUAUUCCAUUCUGAGCCCCACACAGGACAAGGUUUAUGUGAUUUUUUUCCUUCCUCUCGGGAAAGAUUCCUCCCUGCCUCUUGGAGCUUAGCAGCAGCUAAGAAAUGUGACCCCAAGGUCACAUGUAGAUUAAAACCUGGUAAACCUGAUGGGCUUGCUACAGCAUGACUGUGAGGGAAACUGUGACAGCUGUGGCUUGCUGUUUCCCCAUGGGGGUGGGUCACAGGAGGUCCUAACAAGAAGCAAAUCCGUGUCAAGAGGCUUUGUGGCACUAAUUCCUGGGGUUUGGGAGCCUGGGCAGAGUGGGUGUCAAGAGUCUCUGGCUACUGGGUCGCUUGGGGGCUACCCUCAGGAUCAGGAUGGAGAGGGGGAAGCAGGCAGGAGCAGGGCGCUCCCCAGGCAGCCACGAAUUGGCUUGCUCCUUUCAGAUUUCUCUUAAGAAGCAGCUUUCCGUUUCUGUUCUGUGGCCUCUGAGGGGGUUUCCUGAAUGAACCUUCUCUAAGCUUUCCUGAGGGACCGUUUCUGAGGGCUGGUGGGGGAAUUUCCCCCCUUUGACCGAACUGUUGCCUAAAGAGAUUUACUGCUGAUCUUCAUGUGGGGAUUUUCUCACUGGCAUUUUGCUACUUCCUGUUUCCCAAGAGGCUCUGCUCUCUGGGAACUGAAGUCAUCAAGAGAUGGGCACAAACAUCCUUUGGGAGAAAGGAAGGGCGGGUGUACUUAACACAGAGGUGCUUUUCUUCCCCUCCUCUAGUUCUUUGACACCGUGAUAACGGAUUUGAAGAUCUGGCCCAGGGAUCUUGCUGAGAGCUUCAGAUUGAUUAUACUCACCAUUCCACAGGAAUUUGAGUUGUAUAGCAUAAUUACAAAUCACAUAAGGACUGGUGUAUUAGACUCUCUCUCCUGUAUUGGGGAUGGAUAGAAUCUCUUAUACUGAAAGAAACCACUGAAGAAAUCAUCACUCCUUUUACCUAAUGAUAAUGCACUACCAUUUCCUGAGUGCUUCCUGUGUGGCACGCAUGGUGCUGGGGCUUUGCACACAUUUCUCAUUUGAUCCCAGCAACAUUCUGGAAAAGUAGGCCUUAUGAAGACCCAUUUAACAGAUGAGGAAACCAAGGCUCUAAGGGGCUCUGAGAGGUUAGCUUACAGCCAAAUUUUCCCUGCUGGUGUUAAUGGAGCUCCAAUUCUAUGGGAUCCCAAAGCCUAUGCUCAUAUGUAUUCAGCUAUAAAUUUAUAUAAAAUUUGGGAUUUGAUUCAUGAGUCUUUUAGGUGCUAUUGGCAGCAGAGUAGUAGGAAAGACCCUAGAAAGAAGCAGGAUCUUCUUCUCCCACCACCCAAACCGGGGGGUGGAAAUACUUUAGGGAGCAGUAUUGACAGUCCUUAGCUUAGCUCUGUGUACUGGCAGGCAUUUUUACUGUGUCACCUGGAAAAAGUUGCUGACCUGGGAAGUGACAGGAGUGAAUAUAUAAAAGAAACAUCAAUCAAACCAAUUCAAUAGUUGUUACAGAACUCUUCCAUCGUUUAACCACUGCCAACAUCUUGUUACUUCCUACCCUGGCUUUGCACAUUUUACCAAAGUUCUUAAAAAGAAUCUCCCUGGGGACAGGUCCCAGGAUCUCUGUAGCCCUGCUCUGUGGCAGUUUGCAUCCAGGGAAAAUAAUGUCCUAAGCAUUGCCCUACCUCCUUGACUCUUGAUUGUUUUUGAACGGGAUUAGUGUCUGUGUGUGCCUGUGUGCGUGUGUAUGUGUGUUCUUGUGGUAUGAGGUUCUCAUGGGGAUAGAUUGUUAACCACAAUCGACCUUUGCAAAGUUCUCCAAGUAUUUUCGGUUCCAGCAGAGAAGCACUCAGCCUGUGUGAGUGUGCUGCAGGCAGCACUGGGUGGCGUGUGGCCACUUCUGGGAGCUCCUGAGCAAAGCGAGCUGCGUCAGCAGCAGUGGCACCCCCUUGCCCACUGCACACUUUGCGGCAGCUCUUCUCCCAGGGUCUGUCUGGGAGGGCUCCUGACUGUAUCCUCUUCAUCCAGACAGUGAACUCUGAUAGCUACCAACUGUUGAGAGUUUACUAGUUGUCAAAUGAUUUUCCUGCAUUUACUCACUAGAUCUCCACCUGUAAAGGUGUGUUGGCCUGGCUGGUCCCGGAACUUCUCCUACUUGCAGGUGGCCAGGGCCUGAGCACAUGGCUCUCCCUGCACUGCCUCUUCUGCUGCACGGAGGCCUGGUUGCCCCACAGUAGCUGGCGCCCUGUGGGAGCGUGAGGCCCCGCAUCCUUCUGACGUUCUGUCUUUCCAGACCCUUCUUCAUGAGGGCUGUCACCUCCUAGACACCACCCUUUGCUGUGCCUGCCCCCACAGUGCCAGGUGGACCCAGGAGGGCGAGCCCUCCCCUUCAUUGGCAUUUUCUGGGUCAUCACAGUCUUCAGUGGUCCCAAAGCUAGUGCUCUUGAUCAUUCUGCUGUAACACAGUUGGAAAAUUGCUCACACAGCAAUGAGUUUUCUUCAUAGUAUUUUAAUCUUAUAGGUGUUUCCCCUGAACACUCGCAAGACUGGCCUUUUCCAAGCCACCGAUGACCUACACCUUUCUAAGCCCAUCGGUCAGACCUCAGGCCACAUCUUAGAUUACCUGGACCUAGAAUGGCCUUACAUCUCUGAGAUCCAGAUUGAACGCUAUUAAAUGUGUUGCUGAUUCUAAAAUAAAAUUGCAAAUCAGGUUUGGAGUUUGAUGGAAAAGACUGAGAAGGCACAGGAAAGGCGUUGCCCGGAACAGCUGGCACACCCUUGGCAAUGAGGCUUAGUUCUGCUGGAACUUUUCAGGUUCUGGCCUGCCCAGCUGAACCAACUCUGUCCAGGACAGGCUGCUGAAGAGUAACUGCACAAGUGUUGGCUAGUGACAACCGGGAUUCAUGUUCCUGUCUCCUAAGCUUGAGAUUCUGGGAGGCUGGAGAAGCACCGGGUUGCAGACAGCAGCUUCCUCUUACCCUCUUCCAACAGAGAUUCCGGUGCCCACAUGAUGAAGUUCCGGUGUAGUUUCCUGGUUUGCACAGACAUUCCUCCUGAGACUAGAGUUCUGUAUUAAACACCAUCCUGCCUGGAUGGGGCUAUGACACCUCCCUAUCCCUCGGAGGCAGUGUGGCAAAGAGCAAUGGUGGGAUGCCAACAAUUUUUGCAUAUCUGCAUCCCACCUGUAGAGACUUACUUACUUAUAUUUUUCUUUAAAUGGUCUCAAUUUUAAAAUUUAAAUAUCUUAAUUUUUUUUUUUAAAAAGUACAC